rnacentral:rRNA from 1 species
AUACGGAGGGUGCAAGCGUUAAUCGGAAUUACUGGGCGUAAAGCGCGCGUAGGCGGUUUAGUAAGUCGGAUGUGAAAGCCCUGGGCUCAACCUGGGAAUUGCAUUCGAUACUGCUUGACUAGAGUAUGGUAGAGGGAAGUGGAAUUUCCGGUGUAGCGGUGAAAUGCGUAGAUAUCGGAAGGAACACCAGUGGCGAAGGCGACUUCCUGGGCCAAUACUGACGCUGAGGUGCGAAAGCGUGGGGAGCAAACAGGAUUAGAAACCCCUGUAGUCC